UGUUGUUAGAGAAGAACAAGGAUAAGAGUAACUGCUUGUCCCUUGACGGUAUCUAACCAGAAAGCCACGGCUAACUACGUGCCAGCAGCCGCGGUAAUACGUAGGUGGCAAGCGUUGUCCGGAUUUAUUGGGCGUAAAGCGCGCGCAGGCGGUCUUUUAAGUCUGAUGUGAAAGCCCCCGGCUUAACCGGGGAGGGUCAUUGGAAACUGGAAGACUGGAGUGCAGAAGAGGAGAGUGGAAUUCCACGUGUAGCGGUGAAAUGCGUAGAUAUGUGGAGGAACACCAGUGGCGAAGGCGACUCUCUGGUCUGUAACUGACGCUGAGGCGCGAAAGCGUGGGGAGCAAACAGGAUU
rnacentral:rRNA from 1 species